ensembl:snRNA U6 U6 spliceosomal RNA
GUGCUCGCUUCGGCAGCACAUAUACUAAAACUGGAACGAUACAGAGAAGAUUAGCAUGGCCCCUGUGCAAGGAUGACACGCAAAUUCAUGAAGCGUUCCAUAUUUUU